rnacentral:lncRNA from 1 species
UCAAGAGUAUGUUGAGUGUCAGUGACACCUCUCCGUAGCUCCGGUAGAGGUAGAGUGCCGGGAUUGAGCAGUACAUGAAGCUCGCUGCUGUGAUCGCUCUCGCGUUGAGUUGGUCGGAAAUGUGGCCCGCUAGGAUCCCUCCCACUACGCCCCCCACGUCGAAAAGAGUUGAUAUGUUGCCUGCUGUUCUGUCCGAGAUGUACUUCCCGUCAAUUGCUGCAGGGGCAAAGUGAGCAAACAACGGAACAUUAGCCAACUGUAGCAUCUUUGAUCCGAUCUGAUUUAGACCGGGAUAGUUAAAGACUAUAGCUUUGUUUAACAAAUGGAAUGUUGGAUGACAUUCAAAUAGCAAUGACGAAGUUUGAUACUUGGCCGAAAAAUGCUUAAAAUUCCAUCCAAUUUUCCACCAGACAAACCAAAAUCGAUUAAAAACAGAGUCGAAUUUCGUCGGAUUAAGUACCUGUGUGGCUGAUGUAGAAUGGCAGCCAGUAGAGGAAAGUGUAGGCAACCAACUUAGCAAAGAAGAGACACACAGCAAAAGGAGCAACACCAGGAAUCCUCCAUGCUUCAAUAAACCUAACAGGUUUCUCUUCAAUCUGAUCUUCCAACAAUGGAUCGCUCUCGCUUAAUUCGCCAUUCUUCUCGAACUUCCCCUCAUCCUCGUCUUCCUCCUCCUCGUCCUCUCGAGCCCCGACGCUCGAAGGACUAACCCCCAAGAACAAAAACACCACAACCCCAACCACCCCGAUGGCGAACCCGGGCACAAUGAAUGACCACCCCCACCCAUACCUCAGCAUCGCGGCCGCAAUCAACGACCCGAAAAUGUUCCCGACCGAUGUAUGAGCAUUCCAAACCCCCAUGAUCAGCCCUCUCUUCUUCUUCCCGCACCAAUUCCCCACCACCGCAACCACAGAUGGCCACCCGGUUGACUGGAACAACCCGGCGACCAUCUGCAUUGCCAAAAAGUAAUAGAAGCUAUGGACGUCUAGCCAGAAACCCGCCCCGAAAAGGGCGGUGAAAACACCCGUCCCGAGCAUUCCUACCGUUAGAAAGAGGCGUAGAUUCAUCCUGUCGCCUAAAUGUCCCGAGAAAAACAUGCCAACAGCGUACGUGGACAAGAAAGCCAGGUCGACCUCGCCUAAAAGCGAGGUCCCGUCCGACCCAUUGAACGGCGCCCAUCCGGAGCCUAACGUCCACGGAAGCGUCACGGAGGGGCGGCGGCCGAUGGAGGAGCCUGAAUUGGGUGAUUGUUUGGGGUCAAGGGCGCUUUUGACAAUGCUGGUUGUUUUUCUUGCAGAGUGGUAUGCGGCGUAUGCGAGGAAUGUGACGAUUAGGACUACGGCUUGGUGGGUUUUGUAGGAUAGCUUCUUGUUCCCGUUUAGCUUCUCCAGGAAUCGGAUUCCGAUCGGUUUAGGGUUUGGUGGUGGUUGUGUCGUCGUCUCUGUCGCUGGUUGUUCAGGCAUUUGGCCCAUGUAAAAAUUCAGGCAAUCUGUACCAAUUAGAACGGCGAAAAUUCAAGUAAAGCAAGCAAAUUUAAAAUUCUCGUCAAAAACCCAAUAUAGAGCUCGGAAAACCUAAUGCGGGGGAAGAAGAAGAAUCUAAUACAGAGCUCGGAAAACCCAAUCAGACCAUCGAUGAAGUUUCGCCAAAAAAAAGACCAUCGAUGAAGCGAACUAAUCAAAAUAUCAAGCAAUACAUUCCAAUAAAAUCCCAUAUCCGGAAUCUCCGAUUGUUUCACAAAUUGAGGGGAAAGAGUAAUGAAAAAGACCUUCAAGUUGAAGAUCAUUUACCACCGUCUGGUUUUUCUGAGUUCUUCAGCUGCUUGCUUGCUUGCUGAAUGGGUUUUUUCCAGGUGAGGCGAUAUCCAACAUUGGGGAAGAACUGAUCGAGAUGAAUGGUAAUCGCAAUUUGAAUCCGAAUCUGUUAAGGGACUCAGUUACUAGUUUGUUAAAACUAGUUAGUUAGGCCGUUAGAUUGUUAGUUAAGAGUUUAUUGAGCGACUGCUUGUAUAUAUUACUUAAGAGGCUAGACUUGUUAUCCUCACGAUUCUUACCUUAGUAUGUUUUAGAUCAAGUGGGUUCAACUAUUGAUUCAGUAUGGAUAACACACUUGGUAAUCGAUUCUACAUCAAGUGAUAUCGCAUUUUAUAACAAAAGGUGCAUGUUAGGCGAAUUAAAAAAGGUGAGAUAUAACGAAAAAUUAUCGUAAAGAUGUAAUAGAGUUGUGAAAUGUAAUGUCUAAGUUGUCUUAAAAAUCCAGAAAAAACCUCUCCAAUUAACGGUUAAGUCUGCUCUCAAAGUCUAGAACAUAACUCUAAUGGUUGAGUGUUUUGUCAUUGUAGUGUGUUGUACAUCAUCCCUCUCUUUACUGAUUGACCACCAAAUGUAUAGCUAGAGCAUCAAAACCAGAUGGUGGGUUGGAAUCAUGCAACCCCAAAUCCAUUUGCAGCCAACCAAAGUUGCUUUUUUACACCACCAAACAAAUGGUUCAACAUCAAGAAAACCAAUAACCACCCAAUAAUUCUGCCUUUUUAUGUGACAAUUGAAGUGAUUUCAGCCAAGUUUUCACCAUCUUUUUUCCCAUGCAAGUUCCCAUCAAACCAUGGCCCCCUAGUGACCAACAUUUUCUUCCUUCUUUUGCACCAUGACUUUAAACUAAUAAAGAAAAAGAAAAAAUCAAAUCUACAAAAUAUUUUAUUAUUUUGGACCAGAUUGUAAGAAGAAUGACGGAAUUAGAGUGAGCAAAUCUAGAUAAUUGUUUAGGUAAUAUAUCUAUAUAGAUAUUAAACCGAUACAAAGAUAAUGACAAUAAAAUUGAAUAUGAAAACCUGCCUAAGUGUCUCAUCAUUGGAUAACAAUAUGAACUCUAUGUAAAAUUGUUUUAACUAAAGGUUAUGUCAAGUUUGUUUUUAAAAUUUGAAUUGAUCUUUGAACAUUACAUCUCACCAUCUGUAUCUCAACCAUUCUGAUUUCACUUUUGUCUAAAAGGCGUGAAAUAUUAAAUCAAUUUAUUUAUAUAAAGAAGAUAAUCAUGUAGCCGAUUCAUGUAGUCGAAUGCCCCACCAUAAUUAAAUACGUAUACGAUUUCUAUGUUUUCAAUUAAUUGGACUGGUCAUAUUAUAAUGAACAUGAUGCUUUUGAAAAUGGUUUGAUUGUAGAUGAAGAUUUAAGUAUAUUAACUUAAGAUUUUUUUAUAGGAAAAGAGAAAUAACCAUGAAAAUGAAAUUUCCCAAGGUUGAAUGUAUAGCACAAGGAUACAAAACGUUAUCCUGAAUUCAUUGAUCAGUCCAUUUGUUUUGUCCUUGUUCAAUACUUCAAUCACAAGAUUGUUCUUCCUCCUUUGGGGAUGCUCUACAAUUUUGGUCCACACCAUUCUUGGGUUAUGUACAUGAAAAAUGUGUAAACUCUAGUAGUUCCUGAAUGUACUAAUGGAAUGUACUAAUGGUAAUUUGAUCUCACGUCUCUUUAAAAUCGAAACCAACAAACCCAAUUCGCCUUCUAACAGUCGAUCUCAUAUCUCCUUGCACCAUGCACGGUGCAAAAAAGUGCACAGCGUUCGCUUGUAAAAAUUUUUGAUUUAAUAUAUCCCAUCUUGGCGACAGAUCUAUAAAAAAUCUCUUCCAGACCACAGUCCACCCCAUUUUGGAAACUUUUCAAAAUUGCUUUGUGUCCUUCACUAGUGGUAGUUUCAUCACAUUGAUGUAUAACAUACAAAAAAAAGUGGCACCAUCCACAUUACAAUACAAUGAUACAAAACCUCCCCAAAUUUCCCCACCCUAAUCUCUCUUCAAGGGACACAUUUUAACCUAAAAAUUGAACAUCUCCCCUUUGGACAUAAUUAGAAAUUAGCCAUCACAUUAAACACCAUAUGAACCCUUUGUGGUAUGUACAAAAGUCCAAAAAAUCUAAAACCCUAAAAAGCCCCUUUGUUUCAAACAUCAAGCUCAGCCACUUGAGAAGAACUACCACAACCACUAUUCCCCUGCUGCUGAGACUCAGCAAUCUUAGCAGCAACCUCUGCAACAACAAGCCUAGUCAAAAGCAACCCGGCCACGAAGGCCGAACCCAUGAGCAUUGUGAACACAGCACUCCAGCUCGUGGCCGAGAUGUAACCAGUCAGCAACGGCCCUAUCGCUGCACCAACCGACCCGGUUCCAUCGAUGAUCGCUGUCACUGUGGCCAGCGCCCUCGAGUUCCCCUUCAACGAGCUGUGCGUCCCCAAAUCGGCAGAGACAGCGGUCGUUAUGAGUGCGUACGGACCGUUCACGAACAUUCCCGUCAGCAGCAUCAGGAUUAUGUUGAGUGUCAGUGACACGUCUCCGUAGCUCCGGUAGAGGUAGAGUGCCGGGAUUGCACAGUACAUGAAGCUCGCCGCUGUGAUUGCUCUGGCGUUGAGCCGGUCGGAAAUGUGGCCCGCUAGGAUCCCUCCUACCACGCCUCCUACAUCGAAAAGGGUUGAUAGGUUGCCUGCUGUUCCGUCGGAAAUGUACUUCCCGUCGAUUGCUGCAAGGACAAAGUGAGCAAACAACAGAACAAGCAUUAGCCAAGAAAACUCAAAAUU